rnacentral:lncRNA from 1 species
CUCAUUUCAUUAUUUGAAGCUUCAAGCAAUUACAUGACAAAAAGCUAAAAGCAAGUUACAGUUAAAAUUAUACUAAACAACAAAACAAAAUCAAUUACAGAUAAAAGGAAAAUACAACCAAAAAAAAUGAAAAUCGAACAACCACAUCAUUCACUCAUCUCACAUCUCACAUCUCACAUCUCACAUCUCAAAAGGGGGUAUUGCUGAGGUGAAUGAGGUUCAGGUUGCUAUUCAGGAUUUUGAGGUUGCUCCUAUUAGACGGUUCUUCAGCAGGGGCCUCAUCAAUCUUUUCUCUUUCACUCUCCAACCAUCUCAUGUUAGGAACCACCUUACCAACAUUAGGUUCCCUAUUAACCCCUUGCGACAUACAAAACAUUUUGGUUGUUUUUGGCCAAUUUAACGAUGUUGUCUGAAAUUAUAUGUCCCAAAUUAAUGGGGCGCCUCUUCAUCAAGAUGUACACUCCUAAAGCCCUUCUCACUCUAAUCUCGAAGUAGUUCGAGCAAGAUUCCACUUGUGAUAAAAAAAUUAUAAACCAAGCCUUAGGUGAGUAAAAGAUUUAUAAAUGGCUGUUUAAUUGCAAAUGAAUUAAAAUUAACUAGAUAAAAUAAUAAAAUUAAGAAAAAUAAUUAGGAAUUUG